GGGCAGUGGUAGCUCAGCGGUUAAGACAUUAGCCUUCUGCUCAGAAGGUCAUGAGUUCAAGUCCCAGCACUGCC